AAUAAGAUGCCUGAGUAAAGGAUUAUUUUGAUAGAAUAAAUUAUGUAUAUAUUACUCUUAUUA
rnacentral:tRNA from 1 species